UCACAUCAAAUUAGAAACGUUGAUUCUAUGGUUGUUGCAACGAUGUUGAUUCUUUAAUGCAACAUAAUUUUUGAAAAAAAGAAAUUGAUGCCAAUAUAUAGACAUAUAUUAUUAAUGACAUCAAUCCAUCAUUCACUCCCAGCAUUCAUGAUACAAAUGAUGCAACAUAAUAUUCAACAUAUGAAAGUAAGAACUUAUCCUUUCAUCCAUCACUCCCAAUACUAAAAUAUCUACAAAACCUAUAUAUUAUUCAUACACAUCUAAAAUAUUGAUCACUCC
rnacentral:lncRNA from 1 species